CAUCCGGUAAAGCGAAUGAUUAGAGGCCUUGGGGCCGAAACGACCUCAACCUAUUCUCAAACUUUAAAUGGGUGAGAUCUCCGGCUUGCUUGAUAUGCUGAAGCCGCGAGCAAACGACUCGGAUCGGAGUGCCAAGUGGGCCACUUUUGGUAAGCAGAACUGGCGCUGUGGGAUGAACCAAACGCCGAGUUAAGGCGCCCGAAUCGACGCUCAUGGGAAACCAUGAAAGGCGUUGGUUGCUUAAGACAGCAGGACGGUGGCCAUGGAAGUCGGAAUCCGCUAAGGAGUGUGUAACAACUCACCUGCCGAAGCAACUAGCCCUGAAAAUGGAUGGCGCUGAAGCGUCGUGCCUAUACUCGGCCGUCAGUCUGGCAGUCAUGGCCGGUCCUUGCGGCCGGCCGCGAAGCCCUGACGAGUAGGAGGGUCGCGGCGGUGGGCGCAGAAGGGUCUGGGCGUGAGCCUGCCUGGAGCCGCCGUCGGUGCAGAUCUUGGUGGUAGUAGCAAAUACUCCAGCGAGGCCCUGGAGGGCUGACGCGGAGAAGGGUUUCGUGUGAACAGCCGUUGCACACGAGUCAGUCGAUCCUAAGCCCUAGGAGAAAUCCGAUGUUGAUGGGGGCCGUCAUAGCAUGAUGCACUUUGUGCUGGCCCCCGUUGGGCGAAAGGGAAUCCGGUUCCUAUUCCGGAACCCGGCAGCGGAACCGAUACAAGUCGGGCCCCUCUUUUAGAGAUGCUCGUCGGGGUAACCCAAAAGGACCCGGAGACGCCGUCGGGAGAUCGGGGAAGAGUUUUCUUUUCUGCAUGAGCGUUCGAGUUCCCUGGAAUCCUCUAGCAGGGAGAUAGGGUUUGGAACGCGAAGAGCACCGCAGUUGCGGCGGUGUCCCGAUCUUCCCCUCGGACCUUGAAAAUCCGGGAGAGGGCCACGUGGAGGUGUCGCGCCGGUUCGUACCCAUAUCCGCAGCAGGUCUCCAAGGUGAAGAGCCUCUAGUCGAUAGAAUAAUGUAGGUAAGGGAAGUCGGCAAAUUGGAUCCGUAACUUCGGGAUAAGGAUUGGCUCUGAGGAUCGGGGCGUGUCGGGCUUGGUCGGGAAGUGGGUCAGCGCUAACGUGCCGGGCCUGGGCGAGGUGAGUGCCGUAGGGGUGCCGGUAAGUGCGGGCGUUUAGCGCGGGCGUGGUCUGCUCUCGCCGUUGGUUGGCCUCGUGCUGGCCGGCGGUGCAGGAUGCGCGCGCCUGCGCGGCGUUCGCGCCCCGGUGCUUCAACCUGCGUGCAGGAUCCGAGCUCGGUCCCGUGCCUUGGCCUCCCACGGAUCUUCCUUGCUGCGAGGCCGCGUCCGCCUUAGCGUGCUCCUCCGGGGGCGCGCGGGUGCGCGGAUUCUCUUCGGCCGCCAUUCAACGAUCAACUCAGAACUGGCACGGACUGGGGGAAUCCGACUGUCUAAUUAAAACAAAGCAUUGCGAUGGCCCUAGCGGGUGUUGACGCAAUGUGAUUUCUGCCCAGUGCUCUGAAUGUCAACGUGAAGAAAUUCAAGCAAGCGCGGGUAAACGGCGGGAGUAACUAUGCAUCCCAUCAUGCCGAUGGAUGGGGCCAACACUUCGCCGGUCCCGUCUCCUGGCGCUGAAGAGGAUUGGGCCAGCCGCCGACGGUGCAGGCCGGGACGAGGUGCAGCGUGAGAUUGAGGCCCUGGAGCGGCAUCUUAUGUGGGAGGGCCACCUCCUCAAAUCGUCGACGCAGGUUGGAGAAAUGUGGGCCGCGCGCCUGCACGUUGCCUUUGACGGUGCGGCGCUGUCAUCUUCCGCCGCCGUCAAGGGGCAACACCAGUGGGUCGCUGACACCAGUCGCCUGCUAUCUGGGCGUAACUUCAUCGACGCUCUCCGCGCCCGCAUCAACGCCUUCCCCACGAAGGCACGGCGCAGUCGCGGGCGGGAGGCGGACACCAGAUGCCGCGCGGGCUGCCAGGCCGUAGAGACCGCCAACCACGUGUUACAGGCUUGCUUCAGGACGCACGGGUCCCGGGUUAAGCGGCAUGACGCGAUCGUGCGCUAUGUCGCCCGUGGACUCGCGCAGAGGGGCUUCAAUGUUUCUGUGGAGCCCCACCUCCGCACACCUGAGGGAAUCCGCAAGCCUGACGUGGUGGCGGUUAAAGACGGCAUCGCCCGCGUCAUCGACGCCCAGGUAGUCGGAGACCAUCUCCGGCUCGACUGGUGUCACUCCGAGAAAGCGGCCUACUACAACACGCCGUCCAUCAGGCGUGCCAUCUCCAACCUGCACCGUGACGUUGAGGAGGUUACAGUGUCCACCGCGACAUUGAAUUGGAGGGGUGUAUGGUCUCCAGCGUCGGCCGGAGAUCUCUCCGCACUUGGAUUUAGACCCCGAGAACUGGCGGUGCUUAGCACGAGAGUACUGCAAAGCUGCUGCACGAGCUAUCGCAUUUUCGAAUAUAUGACGGCGCACAGUCCGAUGGAGCGAGCCGGCGUCGGAUAGGAUGCUGGUUAUUUUCUUCGCCU